GAUGAACGCUGGCGGCGUGCCUAAUACAUGCAAGUCGAGCGAACAGACGAGGAGCUUGCUCCUCUGACGUUAGCGGCGGACGGGUGAGUAACACGUGGAUAACCUACCUAUAAGACUGGGAUAACUUCGGGAAACCGGAGCUAAUACCGGAUAACAUGUUGAACCGCAUGGUUCAACAGUGAAAGACGGUCUUGCUGUCACUUAUAGAUGGAUCCGCGCCGCAUUAGCUAGUUGGUAAGGUAACGGCUUACCAAGGCAACGAUGCGUAGCCGACCUGAGAGGGAGAUCGGCCACACUGGAACUGAGACACGGUCCAGACUCCUACGGGAGGCAGCAGUAGGGACUCUUCCGCAAUGGGCGAAAGCCUGACGGAGCAACGCCGCGUGAGUGAAGAAGGUCUUCGGAUCGUAAAACUCUGUUAUUAGGGAAGAACAAAUGUGUAAGUAACUAUGCACGUCUUGACGGUACCUAAUCAGAAAGCCACGGCUAACUACGUG
rnacentral:rRNA from 1 species